rnacentral:rRNA from 1 species
UUAGAUACCCUAUUAUACUAGUAAAUACCUUAAAUAUUAAUAGAUAUAAUCUUUAAACUUGAAGAAUUUGGCGGUGGUUUAAUCUUAUUAGAGGAACCUGUUUUUAAAUCGAUAAACCACGUGGAAUCUUACUUAUUUUAAUGAGUUUAUAUACCGUCAUUAUCAGAUAAUUUUAAAAGAAUGAAUUAUUAAAAUUUAUGGAUUAAUAAAUUAAAUUAGAUCAAGGUGUAGCUUAUAAAUAAGUUAAAAUGGGUUACAAUAAAAUAUAUUUAUAUGGAUUAGUUAUAAUAAAAGUGCUAUAAAGGUGGAUUUAAUUGUAAUUAAAGUUUAAUAAGCUUUAAAGAUAUUGGCUCUAAACUAUGUACAUAUCGCCCGUCGCUA